rnacentral:rRNA from 1 species
CGAGGGGUGCAAGCGUUAUCCGGAUUCAUUGGGUUUAAAGGGAGCGUAGGUGGCCUUAUAAGUCAGGGGUGAAAUCUCUGGGCUUAACCCAGAAAUUGCCAUUGAUACUGUAGGGCUUGAGUAUAGUUGCCGUUGGCGGAAUAUGACAUGUAGUGGUGAAAUACAUAGAGAUGUCAUAGAACACCGAUUGCGAAGGCAGCUGACGAAACUAUAACUGACACUGAGGCUCGAAAGUGUGGGGAUCAAACAGG